rnacentral:rRNA from 1 species
UGAGGAAUAUUGGUCAAUGGGCGAGAGCCUGAACCAGCCAAGUAGCGCGCAGGAUGACGGCCCUAUGGGUUGUAAACUGCUUUUGUAAGGGAACAAAGUGCGGGACGCGUCCCGUUUUGCGUGUACCUUACGAAUAAGGACCGGCUAAUUCCGUGCCAGCAGCCGCGGUAAUACGGAAGGUCCGGGCGUUAUCCGGAUUUAUUGGGUUUAAAGGGAGCGUAGGCCGAAGGUUAAGCGUGUUGUGAAAUGUAGUCGCUCAACGGGUGCACUGCAGCGCGAACCG